rnacentral:rRNA from 1 species
UACGUAGGUGGCAAGCGUUGUCCGGAUUUACUGGGUGUAAAGGGCGUGUAGCCGGGUUGACAAGUCAGAUGUGAAAUCCUGCGGCUUAACCGCAGAACUGCAUUUGAAACUGUUGAUCUUGAGUACUGGAGAGGCAGACGGAAUUCCAUGUGUAGCGGUGAAAUGCGUAGAUAUAUGGAGGAACACCGGUGGCGAAAGCGGCUCUCUGGCCUGUAACUGACACUGAGGCUCGAAAGCGUGGGGAGCAAACAGG